rnacentral:rRNA from 1 species
GAUGAACGCUAGCUACAGGCUUAACACAUGCAAGUCGAGGGGAAACGAUAUUGGAAGCUUGCUUCCGAUAGGCGUCGACCGGCGCACGGGUGAGUAACGCGUAUCCAACCUGCCCAUCACUUGGGGAUAACCUUGCGAAAGUAAGACUAAUACCCAAUGACGUCUCUAGAAGACAUCUGAAAGAGAUUAAAGAUUUAUCGGUGAUGGAUGGGGAUGCGUCUGAUUAGCUUGUUGGCGGGGUAACGGCCCACCAAGGCGACGAUCAGUAGGGGUUCUGAGAGGAAGGUCCCCCACAUUGGAACUGAGACACGGUCCAAACUCCUACGGGAGGCAGCAGUGAGGAAUAUUGGUCAAUGGACGAGAGUCUGAACCAGCCAAGUAGCGUGAAGGAUGACUGCCCUAUGGGUUGUAAACUUCUUUUAUAUGGGAAUAAAGUGAGCCACGUGUGGCUUUUUGUAUGUACCUUAUGAAUAAGGACCGGCUAAUUCCGUGCCAGCAGCCG